rnacentral:rRNA from 1 species
GACGAACGCUGGCGGCGUGCUUAACACAUGCAAGUCGAACGAAGAGCGAUGGAAGCUUGCUUCUAUCAAUCUUAGUGGCGAACGGGUGAGUAACGCGUAAUCAACCUGCCCUUCAGAGGGGGACAACAGUUGGAAACGACUGCUAAUACCGCAUACGAUCUAAUCUCGGCAUCGAGGAAAGAUGAAAGGUGGCCUCUAUUUAUAAGCUAUCACUGAAGGAGGGGAUUGCGUCUGAUUAGCUAGUUGGAGGGGUAACGGCCCACCAAGGCGAUGAUCAGUAGCCGGUCUGAGAGGAUGAACGGCCACAUUGGGACUGAGACACGGCCCAGACUCCUACGGGAGGCAGCAGUGGGGAAUCUUCCGCAAGGGACGAAAGUCUGACGGAGCAACGCCGCGUGAGUGAUGACGGCCUUCGGGUUGUAAAGCUCUGUUAAUCGGGACGAAAGGCCUUCUUGCGAACAGUUAGAAGGAUUGACGGUACCGGAAGAGAAAGCCACGGCUAACUACGUG